GCCCUGAUGGUCUAGCGGUAUGAUUCUCCCUUAGGGUUGUCGUCGGCAUCUCCGUCUGGGAGAGGUCCCAGGUUCGAUCCCUGGUUAGGGCC
rnacentral:tRNA from 1 species